UCACGCAACACACAAGUACAAGGAUCUAUUAAAUUAUUUCACCAAAUAAAAAUAAGAAUAAAUUAUUAUCCAGGAAAACUAAACGAACAAGCUUACCCUAAAUGAUCAUAAUUUUUUUAGUGAUCUGAAAUUGCAACAUCAUCAUCUGCACCAUAUUUCAAAAAUAUAUAUAAUACAACGACAUUCAAAAAUAAAAAAAAUGCAGUCAAAAUACAUGUAUCGUUCUUUAUUCAAUCUUUUUUUUUUGGUUCUCCAAGUAUCCAGCCCGACAGGCAGAACUAAUCCUCCGCGGAUUUGAGAAGUGAACUCCAUGUAAGGAUUUAUCGCUGCAUGCACAAGGUGAAAAUUGAACCCUGACGCUUAAGAGCGACCUAGUGAGCGAAAAUCGAACCCUGACGCUUAAGAGCGACCUAGUGAGCUAACCACCGGCAACCAAGUUUGAUUUCUUUAUUCAAUCUUUAUGAACACAUAGACAACACAAAUCUGAAAAAGAAGAGAAGAGCAUGCAACAUAUUUAUCAAAAUCUAAAGAAAACACUGAUAAUAGUAUGGAGAGAUGUUAAGAGUCACAGACCUGUUUUGUAGUAGCAAACUAGGGCUUCCUCAUCACUCAAACUUGAACUUCGAACUCGAAAAGGAAGCAAGAAAAUAAGAACUUCGAACUCGAAAAGGAAGCAAGAAAAUAAGAAGGAGAUAGUAGUAUAAACUUUCUUGAUAUUUAAUGCUAAUUUUGAUAACCUCUCUUGAUGAUUCUUGAUGAAAAAAUGGCAGCCCAAAGGCUUUUUUUUAUAGCCGAAGUUGAGUGUGGCUACAACAGUUCUCAAGUGAGGCCUCAAGAAUUCAAAUUUUGAAUUCUUGGAAGCCCAAAUCACAGAGAAAAACAGAAGAACGAAAUUGGAGGAAGAAAAAGACUGUUUUUUUUUACCUCUUCAGAUUGAUGUGAAGGGGGAAAGGACAGCUUGGGAGGCUUCAAGUUCAAACAUAUUGAAUUAAAGGGGAUUACAAUCUCAAAUCCGAUAGUUCUUUACAAUCUUCGCCCUUUUCAGAAGUGGCAGUGAUUGUGGAGUAUUUUGGGGGUCUAAUUUUGAAAGAAAAGUGAUGGAAGUCAUGUAAAGUUGAUGGAGAUGGUGUCGUUUGAGACAAGAGUAAAGGAAAAAAGGGAGGACCACCGAAAAAUGCCAUUUUCCAGUAGUCUUAGGGCACCGCCAUUGGCAGAAGUGGAGAAAUGGAAGAGAAUUUUGGUUGGGGAUAUUUGGUUGAGGUGUAAUGAGAGAGGUGUGGAGGUAUUGGGGU
rnacentral:lncRNA from 1 species